CGUACACUCCUGCGGGAGGCAGCAGUGGGGAAUAUUGGACAAUGGGCGCAAGCCUGAUCCAGCCAUGCCGCGUGAGUGAUGAAGGCCCUAGGGUUGUAAAGCUCUUUCACCGGUGAAGAUAAUGACGGUAACCGGAGAAGAAGCCCCGGCUAACUUCGUGCCAGCAGCCGCGGUAAUACGAAGGGGGCUAGCGUUGUUCGGAUUUACUGGGCGUAAAGCGCACGUAGGCGGACUAUUAAGUCAGGGGUGAAAUCCCGGGGCUCAACCCCGGAACUGCCUUUGAUACUGGUAGUCUUGAGUUCGAGAGAGGUGAGUGGAAUUCCGAGUGUAGAGGUGAAAUUCGUAGAUAUUCGGAGGAACACCAGUGGCGAAGGCGGCUCACUGGCUCGAUACUGACGCUGAGGUGCGAAAGCGUGGGGAGCAAACAGGAUUAGAAACCCUAGUAGUCCC
rnacentral:rRNA from 1 species